AAAAUGAAGUUGUCUUUCAAGUAAAAACAAAGUCAUAAAUUGGAGUAGGAAAGUUCGCUGAGAUGAGAAUCAGCUACCUCACAACCCUCCACAAGAUGCCUCGGAAACGAAGAGAAUGGAAGAUAUCACAAAAAUCCGGGCUCGUAACCUACAAAAAUUUGUAGAAGCAAGGGGUGAGUACCAAACCACACGGUACUCAGCAAGUAAACCUCUAAACACAAGCUAAGGGGAUGAAAUA
rnacentral:misc_RNA from 1 species